AGCAGCCGCGGUAAUUCCAGCUCCAAUAGCGUAUAUUAAAGUUGUUGCAGUUAAAAAGCUCGUAGUUGAAUUUCGGGGUUAGUAGGCUGGUCAUGCCACCGGUAUGUACUGGUCUUUCUGAUUCCUCCUUCCUGAUGAACUGUAAUGCCAUUAAUUUGGUGUUGCAGGGAAUCUGGACUGUUACUUUGAAAAAAUUAGAGUGUUUAAAGCAGGCUAACGCUUGAAUACAUUAGCAUGGAAUAAUGAAAUAGGACGCUCGACCCUAUUUUGUUGGUUUCUAGGAUUGACGUAAUGAUUAAUAGGGAUAGUUGGGGGCAUUAGUAUUCAAUUGUCAGAGGUGAAAUUCUUGGAUUUAUUGAAGACUAACUACUGCGAAAGCAUUUGCCAAGGAUGUUUUCAUUAAUCAAGAACGAAAGUUAGGGGAUCGAAGACGAUCAGAUACCGUCGUAGUCUUAACCAUAAACUAUGCCGACUAGGGAUCGGAUGAUGUUAAUUUUUAAUGACUCAUUCGGCGUCCG
rnacentral:rRNA from 1 species